UCUUCCGCAAUGGACGAAAGUCUGACGGAGCAACGCCGCGUGAGCGAUGAAGGCUUUCGGGUCGUAAAACUCUGUUGUUAGGGAAGAACAAGUGCUAGUUGAAUAAGCUGGCACCUUGACGGUACCUAACCAGAAAGCCACGGCUAACUACGUGCCAGCAGCCGCGGUAAUACGUAGGUGGCAAGCGUUAUCCGGAAUUAUUGGGCGUAAAGCGCGCGCAGGUGGUUUCUUAAGUCUGGUGUGAAAGCCCACGGCUCAACCGUGGAGGGUCAUUGAAAACUGGGAGACUUGAGUGCAGAAGAGGAAAGUGGAAUUCCGUGUGUGGCGGUGAAAUGCGUAGAGAUAUGGAGGGACACCAGUGGCGAAGGCGACUUUCUGAUCUGUAACUGACACUGAGGCGCGAAAGCGUGGGGAGCAAACGAG
rnacentral:rRNA from 1 species